AGGCUCAUCUGGUUGAGAUCGAAGGAUGAGCAUAUUUUGUAGUCACCUUUUCCUUAAAAAAGGUCAUGUAUGGGGGAUCUGCCGUAAAUGCUGUGAUUUCUCCCACUCAUGUGGCCAAUGUAAUGGCUACAAGGAAUGCUGUUUCCACAAAUAAGUGUAAUAGAGAGGAGGGGCCAUGCAAGUGCAUUCAAAUACCAGGUGCAGAUCCCAGAGUUUGGGUGGUGGGGACACCUCUGGAUAAAGUGCUUAUAAGCCUUUUAAGAAUCUUUUGGUGAUGGGAUGUGCAAAGAUGGGAUAUGGGUGAGAUUCUGUGGCCUGCAUUGUGCAGGGGAUCAGACUAGAUGAUCAUAAUGGUCCCUUCUGACCUUAAAGUCUAUGAGUCUAUGAUUGAGGAGUCAUCUUAAUAUGCAAAGUUGUUAUACAGCCAAGUGUAUCUCAAUGAAACUAAUAGCAAGGCCUGAUUGUUUAAGAUGCAAUAAGUAUUCAGGAACAAGGGAUAUGGAGGUCACUGACGGGACGACUUGACAGUCCAAGCACCAUAUGAAAAAUCCGUUCUAUCUUUGAGUGUAGGUAUUGGGAGUGUUCUGGAACCUACUAUGGAGUAAUACCCCAUUGUACAAGUUCUGAACAUUCUAAUUUUUGUGCAGAAAAUCAUCGAGUUGCCAUGUUUUGUGGUGCAACAUGCAAAGGUUGUGGUAGCUCAUUUGGAUUCCCAGUUCGGAGAUCUGGAGACUCCGGCCGAGUCUUUUGAAGACAUGCAUUGUGAUGGACAUGCUGUGAUGAUAGUUGAGUUUGGAAUGCACUUUGAGGUGGCAAUCAUCCAGUUAACCAGUUAUGGUAGAACGUGAGGAGGCGGUGUUGGAAAAAUUUGAGAGAGGAUGAUUACAUUGGAGGAGGUAAGUGGUAUUCCAGGCUCUCAACAUAGGUCUCAAAUCUGCUUAUUGGGUUGCUGGGGUUGUUGCGUGGUAUUGGAGGGUGGGCGAUGUCGCUAUGAUCUAUGUCUAUUCCGCUGUUGCUCUUGUUGAGCUUGUCUUGGGUGGUGUUGGGUAUAUUGAGGGUAUCUUGGAUACCUAAAUUGUCAUCACCUAAGCGCUGGAUUGCGGAUGCUGAGGGAUCUGAGCGUUACCCUGGAAUCCUUCAUUGAAUGAAAUAUGUUGUUGGUGUUAGCUGUGAAUAGUUUCUUGCCAUCAAAUGGGAGAUUUUCAAUGGUGGAUUGGAUCUCCCUAGGAAAGGAAACGGAAUUGAGCCAAUAGGCUCACCUCAUGACAACUGUGAUAGCUAUGGAUCUUGCAACGAUGUCUGCAGUAUCUAAGGCUGCCUGCAAAGCUGUUUUAGAAAUUGUAUGUCUGUCAGUGAUUAUGUCCUUGUAUUACUGCUUCUUAGCCUCUGCUCUGUCUGCAAUAAAAUAAUUGAGUUUUGAAUAAUUUCUGUGGUCGUAUUUGCUUAGUAGGGCUAUAUAAUUAGCAACACAGAACUGCAAUGUGGAUAACAUGUAAACCUUGUGCACAAGUCAAGCCGUUUACUGUCAAAGUUGGACAGCAUAGAUCUCAAGUGUUGCUGUUCAUUUUUCUUGUGAGCAGCCUCCACCACCAGUGAGUUAGGUACUGGGUGGGUAAAGAGAAACUCAAGAGUCUUUGGGUGGGAAAAAGUAUUUAUCAUCCGAUCUCUUGCACAUAGGUGUGACUGUGGUGGGUGUUUGCCAGAUGCUUUCAGCUGGUUCCAUGAUUAUAGGGUUGACAGAUAAGACUAUUUUCAAGGAUGUUACCGACAGUAAGAUAUCUGGAAGUUCAUGUUGGUUCUCUGUGACCUCUUGCAAUUGAAUGUUAAGUUCUGCAGAGACCCAUUUGAAGAGGUCUUGAAAGCGUAAAAAGUUGACAGCAGUGGUAGGUGGAGGAUGCAUGACAGCUUUGUCAGGCGAGAAAGAUGCAUUAGUAUUAGGAGACUAUCCAGAGUUGGGUCACUGUUGUGGGCAUCCUCUGUGUCCUGGUGGUGCUGAGGAGACAGUGCCUGUGGUGAAAGAGAGUGUUGUAUCAUGGUGCGUAUGCUGGUGUUUGUGAUGGGACUGCUGUGGAUUCCAAUAGCACGAUUUUGGUAAGAAGGGCACUAAGGUGGCAUCCGUGGGUUUCCAUACCAGGGUGGCAUGUUUCUCUGUCUGGUGUAUGCUGGACAAGCUCUGGCAGAAUAAAUGGAGUGAUCCAUAGGGGGAGAAUUCUGCAGAGAGAAAACUACGUCCACAUCAACAUCAUCCUCCUCACUUGAGAAUCGUUCUGGUGAAAGCGUUUGGUGCUGUGCCAGCGUGCCCGGAGAGCGGUUGAUAUCAGGGAAAGGUAAGAUGAACAUAGAGGAAAUGAGUAAGUCUCUGUGCUGCGUGUACUGAAGUGCAGGUGUUGACAGUUUCAUGGUUGGCUGUAUUCAAGAGACUUGUGGUGCUGGAUAUAAUCUCAGCAUUAAGCAAACUGGUGAUCUUGUCGGUGCUGUCCCGGCAUUGGUGACCACUGCAGGAGUAGCGAUCGGCAUCAGAGGUGCUUAUGGUGCCAUUGUGGCAUCCCGUAUGCCUGGUGCUGCUGUUGUAUGUGAAACAGGCAACUCAAAGCAUGGGUUUUUUGUACACUCUGUCUUGUGUGGCACCAGCAAUGCUCAGUGUGUCACAGGUACUGAGGCACAGAGCUUCAGCUGUUCUCUGCAACUGAAGCUGGUGAAUGCUGUUGGGUUCUGUAGGAGCUAUGAAGCUGGCUUUUUCACAGGCUUUUUAUCUUCAUGCGCCUGAGAGGUCUCAGAAUCUUGUCCUGGGUUAGAAACAGGGUGUAAUGAUUUUUCUAGUAAUAUAAGUUUGAGUCACAGGUCUCUGUCAUGAUGGGCUCUUGAUUUCAAUUUUGUGCAAUGGGAGCACUUUUGAGAGACGCAUGCUUCCCCCAAGGCAGGGGAUACAUUGUGAGUUUUCCUUUGACACUGGAAUGGGGGCGUUGUAUGAAGAGCAGCAUUUAAAUUAGGGCAAGACGUGGCUCGCCAAACGGUCCAGGGAUGCUGCAGGGAGCCCCAGGCAGGCUCCCAGCUUGCCUCAUGCCACCCUCAAACCACUCAAACACGGCCUGGGGGUGGUUUUUCUUUUAAAAACAGUGAGUCUGGAGGAGAGGUGGGAAAGCUUUAGAAGCUGCUCCCACCCCCAGCACAAUCCCAUUGGCUGGUUUCUGACCAGAAACCGGCCAAUGGGAACUGCCUGUUUCAAUAAUAGGCAGCCACAAAGCACAAGGGACUCCAGAGCACAUGCCUGCAGCUUCCGUGGGGAUGAUGCAGGCAGGGAGGCUGAUUCACGAACAGCUGCUGGAUGGUAAGUCUCCUGACCAGAGCUUGCCUCUGGCAGGACAGUCCCUCCCUUUCUCAAUCCUCUGGCCCCUACUCCACAUACUCAAAUCCUCUGCCCUGCUCCUGUACCCAUAUUCCCUCCCAGAUCCGGCACUCCAAUCCCCUGCCGCAGAUCACAGUCCACUUCUGCCCUAGUUCACAACCUAAAUCCCUGCACCCCCUCCCGUACCCUAAUUCCCUGCCCCAGGUCACAAUCCACCACCCUGUUUGCACCCGAAUCCACUGUCCCAGGUCACAACUAUGUUGUUCACCCAAACUCCCUCCCUUACUCCAAGCACUCUUCUGCACCCAAUCUGCACCCCAGAUUCGGCACCACCUCUAUUAAUAUCAUGAAAAAGUGCAGCCCUCAACCACCUUCCAAAUGUUUGGAGUGGCCCCCUCACAAAUUAUUGCCUGCCCCUGGUUUAAAUCCUGGUGAACCAGGCAUAAUGCUAAA